AUUCUCCACCAUUGAUGAAUUAAAUCCAACGGUUAAGAUUUUCUCCUUCUUUUCUUUUUUUUUUGGUUAAAACUUCUUUUCCUUUUGCCUCUUCUCUUCGUAUGAGAAAAUCAAAGGUCCCAAAAUCAAACUCUGCGAAUCUUGAGCAAGCGUAUCGCUCCCUCAUCUCCGCUUCCAGAGGUUUAUCUCGCACUCUUAGCCCUUCUCUUCCUGAAUCUCAGCCUCCGCCACCGCAAUUAGAAUCCCAAUCCCCUUCUAUGGUGGUUAGCUCGUUCCCAGCUCCGGUGACGCCGUCGCCUCCAUCUCAGGAGGAAAUUCAAACCAGAAGCAGGAACAGAGAAGAGAUUCGAAGAGUGCAUGACUGCUAUAAGCGUCUCAAAUCUUCUAUUGGUCAGAGAGAUGGUGGUGGGUGCUCUGCGAAUCUUGAGCAAGCGUAUCGUUCCCUCAUAUCCGCUUCCAGAGGUUUAUCUCGCACUCUUAGCCCUUCUCUUUCGUUCGAUUUAGUUUUACCAAUUGGAUGAUUAAUUAUUUGCUACUUGUCGGAGUUGAUGGAAUUCGAUUUCUCAACCAUUCUCGAAGCUUGAUAAAGCCAUAUAUGUAUAUACUGGUUGGGGUGUUUCUUUGUAGUCCAUAUC
rnacentral:lncRNA from 1 species